rnacentral:lncRNA from 10 species
UUCUGCUACAUAAUAUUGGUUAUGCAAGUCACUAAGGCCAGCUCACAUUCAGGAGGAAGUGAAUUGAACUUCACCUCUAGAAAGGGUGAAAAAGGAGAAAGAAGUGGUAUCUAAAUCAGGAAACAAAAACUUAUCCAAAAAUUGCCAGGAGAUUUCUGCUUAUGUGGAAACCAUGUGUCUGUCACACAGACAACCUAGCUGCAAGGAACCUGGCAAGAGACGGAGUUUCACCAUGUUGGCCAGCCUGGUCUUGAACUCCUGACCUCAAGUGAUCCGCCUGCCUCGGCCUCCCAAAGUGCUGGGAUUACAGGCAUGAGCCACCACGGCCGGCCAGAGGUACUUUCAAUUUUUCAUCUGCCAGGCAGAAAAAUGGGGGUGAGGGGUUGCAAAGGGAGCAGCCUCUGGUCCUUUUGUUACUUGGGUGUGGAAAAUUAGGGUUUUCCUUUUGAUUUAGCUCUUUCUAGGGAGUCAGCGUGAAUUGGCCUUAGGUUCUCUGCUUCCAGACCCUAUUCUCCUGCCUCAGAAUGAAUGAAGCCAUUGCUUUCAGUGUUAAGACCUAGACACAUGCAACAGGCAGUAUAAGCAGGAGUUUGUAAUGUAAUAAGGUUUCCUGGGGUUUGUAUGAGAGGGUUUCAAUGAUAUUAAUAACAAGAGCUAACUUCUGGGUAAAGGGGACACAAUUGAGAUUUGAGAGUCUGGAUUAUAGAUAGUACAUUCUGAUAUUAUUAGUAGCUUAGCUGUUUCAACUGGCUGAAAUGAGUCAAGAUAUUGACAUGAAAUUACUCACUGUAAGCGUUUAUUGAGCACCUUCUUUGUGAAAGAUUUAAUUCUGUAAAGAUUCUCUAAUUGUUAGAUUUCUAAGUCUCAAGGGAAGAGAUAGUGAAUAUGUGUCAAAGUUUUAUUUAACGCAAGAAAUGUAGACCUGCCAAGUGAGAACAGAGACUAUUCAGAGCUUGCUAUAGCAAUAGGGGCAGCGACCACACUUGAGUUUGGCAGAGACUCAAAAGCAAUCGGGAAGAGGGGAGACUUUACAGUGGAGGAAAAAAGGGAUGCUUCUGAUGUGUUCUGAUUUAGGGAUGUUGGCAGGGGAAGCUGGAAGUUGUCUAACUUGAAGCAGGAAACUUAACAGGAUUGGUUUGGGAAGAAUAUUUGGCUUUCUCUGGCUGAUACUGGUGUCUGAGGACAGAGAGGUUAAAAUAGAAAAGUUGGCAGCCUUCUUGAGAAAAUUCUGACCAUUUUGAGCUGAUUGCUGUAGAGGUUAUGGUUUGGCUUAUGUGAGUUAGAGUGUUAUUAUCAUAUGCGGUUUAGCCAUUGUCCAUAUGUAUAAGUCUCUCACUCAUUAAUAAGGGAGCCAGCAGAAUCAUAAAACGGAUUUCUACCAGUUCUGAAAAAUGAUAUUUAUAUAAUCGUUGGGGAAAGGAAUGCUGAAAUAAAACUGCUCAGUUGAUACAAAACCGGUUAAUUUUUCUCAGAAAAAUGCAACCUUAACCUUUGGAAUUUUAUCUAUCUAUCUAUCUAUCUAUCUAUCUAUCUAUCUAUCUAUCUAUCUAUAUACACACUGAAUUCCCUGCCCCUUUUUCCCCUAACACCUCAUCAGUUUCCUACCAAUUGAUGUUUGAUUUCAUCCUUUUGUAAAUCUUCUGGGCCCUAAUCAAUUGUUAUUCAAACAAAGUUACAUUUCCUGUGGGUGUCAGAUGAUCAAGUAGGCUUAUUACAAAAUUCUCUAGAAUGAAACUAAUAAAAGUCACAAAAUAUUAUCUUUUGACUUUUUUCCAAGUUUUGAAUAAAAUUUUAGGUAUUUUCUCACUUAAUUUUCACCACAGUCCAAUGCAAGUAACUCAUUGUAGUAGUACAAUGAUUAUCCCCAUUUCCCCGAUGAGAAAACUGAGCCACAGUUUCAGUAACUUGAAGAGUAACCAGUAAUUCAACGACAGCCACAGAAUGGCUGAGCACUGGCUGUACUGCCGCUUUAGGUUAUAAGAGUGAGGGAAGGCCUGCCACGCUGCAGGUUUCGGGCAAUGAAAUUAUUUUUUCCACUGCUUUAUUUCCACCCAUUUAUCUGGCUUCUAAAUCCAAAAUCCUUUUCUAAGACAGUUCACAGGGGUGGAGGGAAGAGGCUGGGCUGUGCUCCACAUCAGGCUGCCUUUGCUAGCUGUGUUGUCUUGAGCAAGUCAUUUAUUAAUUAGCUUCCUGGCCCUCUGUUCUUCGCUUGUAAAAGAGCUGGAACCGCGUUCUCGGUGUGCAGGUGCUGGUGUGUGGCGCUGGGGUAAACUCACAAAAUAACCGUUGAGGCCGGGCGCGGUGGCUCACGCCUGUAAUCCCAGCACUUUGGGAAGACGAGGCGGGCAAAUCGCUUGAAUUCAGGAGUUCGAGACCAGCCUGGGCAACAUUGUGAGACCCUAUUAAUACAAACAACAACAACAAUAAUAACCAAAAAUAGUCCGUCGUGGUGGCACUCGCCUGUGAUCCCAGCUACUCCGGAGGCUGAGGUGGGAGAAUGGCUUGAGCCCAGGAGCGGAGGUUGCAGUGAGCCGAGAUCGCGCCACUGCCCUCCAGCCUGGGUGACCGAGUGAGAUCACGUCUCUAAUAAGAAAAAGACAAAAAACACAAAGUAACCAUUGAAAGAUAGCGUCGUCGGCUGGGUUCACCACAUCCCAGCGCACGCCGGAGCAGGCUGUAGCAGUUUUAAUAAAGUGUCUAUAAAGAAAGCUGCCUUCCAUCUUCAGUGGCGCCGCCUCCCACUUCAGUCCCCUUCUCGGCCCCACCCCAGCCCUUCCCUCGUUGUCAUGGAGGCCCCAGGACGCCAGAGCGGGAUAGUUCCGCUCCCGCGGCACCAGAGGCGG